UACGAAGGGGGCUAGCGUUGUUCGGAAUCACUGGGCGUAAAGCGCACGUAGGCGGAUCUUUAAGUCAGGGGUGAAAUCCCGAGGCUCAACCUCGGAACUGCCUUUGAUACUGGGGAUCUCGAGUCCGGGAGAGGUGAGUGGAACUGCGAGUGUAGAGGUGAAAUUCGUAGAUAUUCGCAAGAACACCAGUGGCGAAGGCGGCUUUCUGGGCAUUUCCUGACGCUGAGACGCGAAAGCGUGGGGAGCGAACGGG
rnacentral:rRNA from 1 species